rnacentral:rRNA from 1 species
CGGAUCGUAAACUUCUUUUAGAGGGGAUGAAUGUCUUGGUGAAUAGCCAAGAGUGACAGUACUCUUUGAAUAAGCCACGGCUAACUACGUGA